GCGAGAUUAAGUUAAUUGAGACUGGUUGUUUUCAAAACAAUUAGUGGCUUUGGCCAUCUUGCG
rnacentral:tRNA from 1 species